rnacentral:rRNA from 2 species
ACUAAGCGUACAAGGUGGAUGCCUUGGCAAUCAGAGGCGAAGAAGGACGUGCUAAUCUGCGAAAAGCUUGGAUGAGUCGAUAAGAGGCGUUUAAUCCAAGAUAUCCGAAUGGGGAAACCCAGUAGAUGAAGAAUCUACUAUCAACAAGUGAAUUCAUAGCUUGUUGAGGCAAACCGGGAGAACUGAAACAUCUAAGUACCCCGAGGAAAAGAAAUCAACCGAGAUUUCGUCAGUAGCGGCGAGCGAAAGCGAAAGAGCCAGUAAGUGAUAGCAAUAUAGUGAGGAGAAUGUGUUGGGAAGCACAAUCAAAGAGGGUGAUAAUCCCGUAUCUAAAAACCAUAUUGUGGUACUAAGCUAACGAGAAGUAGGGCGGGACACGUGAUAUCCUGUUUGAAGAAGGGGGGCCCAUCCUCCAAGGCUAAAUACUCCUGAUUGACCGAUAGUGAACCAGUACUGUGAAGGAAAGGCGAAAAGAACCCCGGUGAGGGGAGUGAAAUAGAACCUGAAACCUUGUACGUACAAGCAGUGGGAGCGAGGGCAACCUUGUGACUGCGUACCUUUUGUAUAAUGGGUCAGCGACUUAUAUUUUGUAGCGAGGUUAACCGAAUAGGGGAGCCGAAGGGAAACCGAGUCUUAACUGGGCGAAUAGUUGCAAGGUAUAGACCCGAAACCCGGUGAUCUAGCCAUGGGCAGGUUGAAGGUUGGGUAACACUAACUGGAGGACCGAACCGACUAAUGUUGAAAAAUUAGCGGAUGACUUGUGGCUGGGGGUGAAAGGCCAAUCAAACCGGGAGAUAGCUGGUUCUCCCCGAAAUCUAUUUAGGUAGAGCCUUGAGGUGACACCUUUGGGGGUAGAGCACUGUUUCGGCUAGGGGGCCAUCCCGGCUUACCAACCCGAUGCAAACUACGAAUACCAAAGAGUGAUACUCAGGAGACACACGGCGGGUGCUAACGUCCGUCGUGGAGAGGGAAACAACCCAGACCGCCAGCUAAGGUCCCCAAGUCUAUAUUAAGUGGGAAACGAAGUGGGAAGGCUUAGACAGCUAGGAUGUUGGCUUAGAAGCAGCCAUCAUUUAAAGAAAGCGUAAUAGCUCACUAGUCGAGUCGGCCUGCGCGGAAGAUGUAACGGGGCUGAAAUAUAGCACCGAAGCUGCGGCAUCAGAAUUUAUUCUGUUGGGUAGGGGAGCGUUGUGUAAGCGGAAGAAGGUUCAUCGAGAGGUGGGCUGGACGUAUCACAAGUGCGAAUGCUGACAUAAGUAACGAUAAAACGGGUGAAAAACCCGUUCGCCGGAAGACCAAGGGUUCCUGUCCAACGUUAAUCGGGGCAGGGUGAGUCGGCUCCUAAGGCGAGGCUGAAAAGCGUAGUCGAUGGGAAACAGGUUAAUAUUCCUGUACUUGGUAAAGCUGCGAUGUGGGGACGGAGUAGGUUAGGUUAUCGCACUGUUGGAUAUGUGCGUUUAAGUUGGUAGGUGGGAAGUUUAGGCAAAUCCGGACUUCCUUAACACAGAGAGAUGAUGACGAGGCUCUACGGAGCUGAAGUAACUGAUACCACACUUCCAGGAAAAGCCACUAAGCGAAAGGCUUUACUAAACCGUACUGAAAACCGACACAGGUGGUCAGGUAGAGAAUACUCAGGCGCUUGAGAGAACUCGGGUGAAGGAACUAGGCAAAAUAGCACCGUAACUUCGGGAGAAGGUGCGCCGGCGUAGAUUGUAAGGGCUAGCCCCUGAAGGUUGAACCGGUCGAAGAUACCAGCUGGCUGCAACUGUUUAUUAAAAACACAGCACUCUGCAAACACGAAAGUGGACGUAUAGGGUGUGAUGCCUGCCCGGUGCUGGAAGGUUAAUUGAUGGUGUCAUCGAAAGAGAAGCACCUGAUCGAAGCCCCAGUAAACGGCGGCCGUAACUAUAACGGUCCUAAGGUAGCGAAAUUCCUUGUCGGGUAAGUUCCGACCUGCACGAAUGGCAUAAUGAUGGCCAGGCUGUCUCCACCCGAGACUCAGUGAAAUUGAAAUCGCCGUGAAGAUGCGGUGUACCCGCGGCUAGACGGAAAGACCCCGUGAACCUUUACUAUAGCUUGACACUGAACAUUGAAUUUUGAUGUGUAGGAUAGGUGGGAGCCUUUGAAGCAGUGACGCCAGUCAUUGUGGAGGCGACCUUGAAAUACCACCCUUUAACGUUUGAUGUUCUAACGAAGAUGACGAAACGUGGUCUCGGACAGUGUCUGGUGGGUAGUUUGACUGGGGCGGUCUCCUCCCAAAGCGUAACGGAGGAGCACGAAGGUUUGCUAAUCACGGUCGGACAUCGUGAGGUUAGUGCAAUGGUAUAAGCAAGCUUAACUGCGAGACAGACAAGUCGAGCAGGUACGAAAGUAGGUCAUAGUGAUCCGGUGGUUCUGAAUGGAAGGGCCAUCGCUCAACGGAUAAAAGGUACUCCGGGGAUAACAGGCUGAUACCGCCCAAGAGUUCAUAUCGACGGCGGUGUUUGGCACCUCGAUGUCGGCUCAUCACAUCCUGGGGCUGAAGUAGGUCCCAAGGGUAUGGCUGUUCGCCAUUUAAAGUGGUACGCGAGCUGGGUUUAGAACGUCGUGAGACAGUUCGGUCCCUAUCUGCCGUGGGCGUAGGAUGAUUGAUUGGGGCUGCUCCUAGUACGAGAGGACCGGAGUGGACGCAUCACUGGUGUUCCGGUUGUGUCGCCAGACGCAUUGCCGGGUAGCUAAAUGCGGAAGAGAUAAAGUGCUGAAAGCAUCUAAGCACGAAACUUGCCAAGAGAUGAGUCAUCCCUGACUUUAAGUCAGUAAGGGUUGUUGUAGACUACGACGUAGAUAGGUUGGGUGUGUAAGUGAUGUGAGUCAUUGAGCUAACCAAUACUAAUUGCCCGAGAGGCUUAACU